rnacentral:rRNA from 1 species
AUGGCCGCACGCCUUGCGCUCGUGGCGGCGCUCCUGUGCGCCGGUGCCGCGGCCGCCGCGGCGCAGCAGGCGAGCAACGUCCGGGCGACCUACCACUACUACCGCCCAGCUCAGAACGGCUGGGAUCUGGGCGCCCCCGCCGUGAGCGCCUACUGCUCCACCUGGGACGCCGGCAAGCCGUUCUCGUGGCGGUCCAAAUCACGGCGAGGAUCGUGGAACCUCGACUGGGACACGGUGUUCGUCAAGAUCGACACCGACGGCAUGGGGUACCAGAGGGGCCACCUCAUCGUCAACUACCAGUUCGUCGACUGCCGCGACAACCGCAUCAACUUCCAUGGAAAGAACGAGACGCUCCCAGCCAGCACUCAUGCUGUUGAGUAA